rnacentral:rRNA from 1 species
UCAGCCACACUGGGACUGAGACACGGCCCAGACUCCUACGGNAGGCAGCGUGGGGAAUUUUNCGCAAUGGCGAAAGCCUGACGGAGCAACGCCGCGGAGGGNCGAAGCCUCUGGGCUGUAAACCUCUUUUCUCAAGGAAGAAGAUAUGACGGUACUUGAGGA